GACGAACGCUGGCGGCGUGCUUAACACAUGCAAGUCGAACGGGCCCGCUCUCUUUUUUGGGGGUGGGUUGAGUGGCGAACGGGUGAGUAUCACGUGAGUAACCUGCCCCCUGCUCCUGGAUAACUGCUUGAAAGGGCGGCUAAUACGGGGUGUGCCGGCUGGUCCGCAUGGGCCUGGUCGGGAUAGUUUCAUCUUCGGGUGUUUCGGUGGGGGAUGGGCUCGCGGCCUAUCAGCUUGUUGGUGGGGUGGUGGCCCACCAAGGCGGUGACGGGUAGCCGGCCUGAGAGGGUGGGCGGCCACACUGGGACUGAGACACGGCCCAGACUCCUGCGGGAGGCAGCAGUGGGGGGUAUUGCACAAUGGGCGGAAGCCUGAUGCAGCGACGUCGCGUGAGGGAUGGAGGCCUUCGGGUUGUGAACCUCUUUCUCCGGUGGUGAAGGCCCUGUCCGUUGCGGCGGGGUUGACGGUAGCCGGGUAUGAAGCGCCGGCUAACUACGUG
rnacentral:rRNA from 1 species